CAAAGCAUAGCCCGGUGUGGAGUGGGAAGUGGAGAGGGAAGGAAGUCGGUCUUGCUCGGGGCUGCCUCAUUGUCUUUAUAGAGCCACGACACAUGCUUCUUGAUUAUGGAAACACAUUCAGAGAAUGUGCUAGUGGUUGUCAUCCUUGUACUAAAGUCGUGGAGUGUAUUAUACAAACUUAGACGGUCAUGACACAGUGACGUCUGAGGUGACGUCAUCUUACGAACCGCGGCCUCUACGUGGUCCGCCAUUGGUGGACCGCAGCACACACGCAGCAGUGUUUGCAUGUCUGUGUGGCUUCAUGGUGUCUGUAAAAACCACACUUCCAAACAGAAUGAGAGAGAAGGGUCUCAUCGUUUUCUAGAAGCAAACUUGUGCUGCAGCCCUUGAAGUCGUGGUUUGGGGAAAAUGCCAGAAGUAUAAAGCAGAAAAGAACAGCAAGUACCUCGCUCCCUGAAGAUAAUUGCUCGUAAGACUGCAGCUCAGAAUGUUUCCUCCCAGUCCAGUACUUAACCCAGCUCAUUUCUUUUGCAGCUCAAGAUUCAAUUGAACUCAAUCAGCCCACGCUGGGCAUUAUGCCCAACUGCAGCGUUAGGUGCUCAGAACGAGACACGGUCCUGACCUUUCAUUGUUACAGGUAAAUUCUCAGCUCCAGUGCCUGCUCGCCACCGUGUUCCCUUCCACGAUGAUCAUGGACUCAACUCUCUGAAACCAUAAGCAAUUUCCCAAUAAACUCUUUCUUCUGUAA